rnacentral:rRNA from 1 species
UACGAAGGGGGCUAGCGUUGCUCGGAAUUACUGGGCGUAAAGCGCACGUAGGCGGAUCUUUAAGUCAGGGGUGAAAUCCUGGAGCUCAACUCCAGAACUGCCUUUGAUACUGAGGACCUUGAGUUCGGGAGAGGUGAGUGGAACUGCGAGUGUAGAGGUGAAAUUCGUAGAUAUUCGCAAGAACACCAGUGGCGAAGGCGGCUCACUGGCCCGGAACUGACGCUGAGACGCGAAAGCGUGGGGAGCAA